CCCCAACAUUUUUUAAAGCUCUCCAGGCUUUUUUUUUCUUCAGGUACUGCACAAAAAUCCUCAUCAAAACUGAGUUAAAAACAGCAACUCUUUGCCCUCAUAUUUCUGUCAGCUGCUCACCUGGGAGUGACUCUGGUCUCGCCUGCAAGCACUCAUCUGUUCAAGUCAUCUGUCAUGGGACAGCUUACCUGAGGCCAAACGUCUAAGAAGAUAGCAAAACAAGACAGAAAAACAACUCCGAAUGGCAGUUUUUGAACAAUUCACUGGAAGUUGUGGAACAGAAGGUAGUGAAUUUGGAUUAAUCAGCUGGCUGAGCACAGCUUUCCAAGUGCUUUCUGUGGCCAAGGAAGAAGAAAACCCCGUGGGAUGUCAUCUAUGGCCACUGGAUGUGGGCCCUAACAGGAAGCUGGAAGCUCGGAACUGGGUCGCCACUCCUCUCCGUUAUUUCUGAGAACUCCUCGAACAAUCGCUGCAAACAGCUGUCUUGUCCAAUCAGGGCUCAUUCUCCUGGGAGGCCCCAAGCCUG
rnacentral:lncRNA from 1 species